rnacentral:rRNA from 1 species
UACGGAGGGUGCGAGCGUUGUUCGGAAUCACUGGGCGUAAAGCGCGUGUAGGCGGCCCACUAAGUCUGAUGUGAAAGCCCGGGGCUCACCCCCCGGAAGUGCAUUGGAAACUGGUGGACUCGAGUCCCGGAGAGGAGAGUGGAAUUCCGUGGUGUAGCGGUGAAAUGCGUAGAAUAUCAGGAGGAACACCGGUGGCGAAAGGCGGCAUCCGUCGUGGACGGUGACUGACGGCUGAGACGCGAAAGCGUGGGGAGCAAACAGGG